GUCUCAGUAGUGGUUAGUGCACAGCACCGAAUAGGUUGAAACGCGGGUUCGAAUCCCGCCUGAGAUG
rnacentral:tRNA from 1 species